GGUGAGUAAUGUAUCGGAACCUGCCCGGUAGCGGGGGAUAACUACACGAAAGCGUAGCUAAUACCGCAUACGCCCUACGGGGGAAAGCAGGGGAUCGCAGGACCUUGCACUAUUGGAUCGGCCGAUAUCGGAUUAUCUAGUUGGUGGGGUAACGGCUCACCAAGGCGACGAUCCGUAGCUGGUUUGAGAGGAUGACCAGCCACACUGGGACUGAGACACGGCCCAGACUCCUACGGGAGGCAGCAGUGGGGAAUUUUGGACAAUGGGGGAAAGCCUGAUCCAGCCAUCCCGCGUGUGCGAUGAAGGCCUUCGGGUUGUAAAGCACUUUUGGCUGGAAAGAAACGUCGCGGGUUAAUACCCCGCUAAACUGACGGUACCUGCAGAAUAAGCACCGGCUAACUACGUGCCAGCAGCCGCGGUAAUACGUAGGGUGCAAGCGUUAAUCGGAAUUACUGGGCGUAA
rnacentral:rRNA from 1 species